GAUGAACGCUGGCGGCGUGCCUAAUACAUGCAAGUCGAGCGAACAGACGAGGAGCUUGCUCCUCGGACGUUAGCGGCGGACGGGUGAGUAACACGUGGAUAACCUACCUAUAAGACUGGGAUAACUUCGGGAAACCGGAGCUAAUACCGGAUAAUAUCUUGAUCCGCAUGGUUGAUUAGUGAAAUACGGUGUUUGUGUCACUUCUAGAUGGUUCUGCGCCGCAUUGGCUAGUUGUGAAGGUCAUGGCUUACCAAGGGAAGGAUGCGUAGCCGAACGGCGGGGGGGAUCGGCCACCCUGGAACGGAGACACGGUCCAGAGGCCUAAGGGAGGCAGCAGUAGCGAAUCGUACGCAAAGGGCGAAAGCCUGACGGAGCAACGCCACGUGAGUGAUGAAGGUCUUCGGAUCGUAAAAAUCUGUUAUGAGGGAAGAACAAAUGUGUCAGUAACUAUGCACGUCUUGACGGUACCUAAUAAGAAAGCCACGGCUAACUACGUG
rnacentral:rRNA from 1 species